AUCUUUGCGCUUGGGGCAAUGACGCAGUUAGUGAGGCAAACCCGAGACGCGUCAAUUGCUGGUUGAAAACUAUUUCCAACCCCCCUGCGGUGCCCGCAAGGGCGCCCCAGAAUUUCUGGAAGGUCUGGCGUAGGCCGAGAC
rnacentral:snRNA from 1 species